rnacentral:rRNA from 1 species
UACAGAGGUCUCAAGCGUUGUUCGGAUUCAUUGGGCGUAAAGGGUGCGUAGGCGGCGCGGUAAGUCGGGUGUGAAAUCUCGGAGCUUAACUCCGAAACUGCAUUCGAUACUGCCGUGCUUGAGGACUGGAGAGGAGACUGGAAUUUACGGUGUAGCGGUGAAAUGCGUAGAUAUCAGGAGGAACACCGGUGGCGAAGGCGGGUCUCUGGGCCGAUGACUGACGCUGAGGAGCGAAAGCGUGGGGAGCGAACAGG